rnacentral:lncRNA from 1 species
CGCGCUGCUGCUGGUGCUGCUCUGCGUCGCCGCGUGUUUCCAGGGCGCGUGCUGCCGCGGCGGAGGGGGCGGCGGAGGGAGGGGCGGAGGCGGGAGGGGCGGCGGAGGAUGGAACGGCGGCCGGGGCACAACGGGCUCGCGCGGGAGCAACGCCGCGGGCGAGCCACGCGCGCACGGUGUCUGGAGGGUCUCCGGUGCCGCCGCCACCCUCGCGGCCGCGGCGAUCCUCUGGUGAGCUAUGGCGGUAUACGUAGUCUUAGAUCGGUAUAGAACUAUAGAUGGCUGGCCGCAUUGUAUAAGCGUCGGUGUGCAUUUGGCAGCGAAGAUCUUGUAAACAAUAGUACCACUGUAUUAAGCUGUGCAUAGUUUAAAGACUUCGUCGACGAUUCAAACAAAGUAUUGAAUUGUUUUUUGUUGGGUCGAUUUGGACCUUCGGAUGGCAGCCGUGUUGAUUUUUCAUUACGUGUACGAGUGACGUCUCCAUUGCUUCAGAGCUAAUAGAACAUGUUUCGUUUCCUACCGUCAAACUUCC